CACCUACGGGUGGCUGCAGUAAGGAAUAUUGGUCAAUGGACGCAAGUCUGAACCAGCCAUGCCGCGUGGAGGAUGAAGGUCCUCUGGAUUGUAAACUUCUUUUAUUUGGGAAGAAACCACCGAUUUCUAUUGGUGUUGACGGUACCAGAUGAAUAAGCACCGGCUAACUCCGUGCCAGCAGCCGCGGUAAUACGGAGGGUGCAAGCGUUAUCCGGAUUCACUGGGUUUAAAGGGUGCGUAGGCGGGUUGGUAAGUCCGUGGUGAAAUCUCCAAGCUUAACUUGGAAACUGCCGUGGAUACUAUCAAUCUUGAAUAUAGUGGAGGUGAGCGGAAUAUGUCAUGUAGCGGUGAAAUGCUUAGAUAUGACAUAGAACACCCAUUGCGAAGGCAGCUCGCUACACUAUUAUUGACGCUGAGGCACGAAAGCGUGGGGAUCAAACAGGAUUAGAUACCCUGGUAGUCCACGCCCUAAACGAUGAUUACUCGACAUCAGCGAUACACUGUUGGUGUCUGAGCGAAAGCAUUAAGUA
rnacentral:rRNA from 1 species